rnacentral:snoRNA from 1 species
AACAUCAUUUUAACUCGCUCACACUGGUCCUAACUUUUAACAUUCAGUGGGGAGAGACACUUCACGAGUCUCCUCAGGUUUUGCAGGGCCGGUAAGAAGCGUAGAGAGAAUUCAAGAGCGUUGCUGGGCGCCUGGCGUUGAUUUUCUUCGGAAAAGAUGAGACUCUGGGAAUCAGCUGUUUCUACAUAU